CACACACACCAUCUCUCUGUGCCAACUAUGUGUGUGAGAGAGAGGGGGGGUAUUGACUUUUCCUGUGUGGAAAAUAACCAGGAUUCUGACAGUACAGCGGGAUUACUACAGCCAUAGAGCAGGAAGAGGAUCAGUACUCUGUCUCCCUAUUGGAAUCUCUCUAUUGUCUAGAUUUUAUCAAUMUGUGUGUGUGUGUGUGUGUUGUAGCUGUUGGGUGUGACUAGUAGGACAGUGGAAUUGUGUACGUUUUUUGGCGUCUAGUCUGGAGAAUAACAGGAACACUUAUUAGGUUCCUCCUUCCUGUGAGGUCAGAGGUCAGGAGGAAGUUGAUCAUGUGUCAUAUCUCACCAGACAUUCCUCCAUGUUUGUUUUCUCUGGGAGGCAUCUGGAACUUUCUUUCUAGCCAGAUGAGAAUGUGAAACAAUGUUAUCCCCUCUUCUUCUUUCUCUCUGACCGCGCUGCCCAUUCUGUUACUGAAGACCAACCCCUUCGGCCAAGAUAACUGUGUGGGGCGGGGGGUUAAAGAAGACGGACUAUGGACUCUGCUUCCUGUAUCUGCCACUGGACACACAAACGCCCAUGCACAGCCCCCUGAGUCUGUGCAACAUCGCUGUUCUUCCUACAUCGCUGAGGAAGGUCAAGAUGUGUGCUACAAACUAACCUCUUCCCGAAGAUACCGAAGAGAAUGCUUGAAUCAGUUUUCCUUUGGGUUCAUUAAAACAUCUCCAGUWCACCUGGAUCCCAGCUCAGCCCACUCUCUGGAGAGAGGAACAAUCUUGGUUCAACUCAACCCAUGGCUACAAUAACACUGUAGCAGAAACCUUACUGGAAUAAAACUGGAGAUUACUACAAUUAUA